GGCCGGCUGGCCUAAUGGUUAAGGCGUCAGUUUCCGGUGAAAUUAGCUGAAGAUUCUGGGUUCGACUCCCAGGUUGGUCG